GAUGAACGCUGGCGGCGUGCCUAAUACAUGCAAGUCGAGCGAACAGACGAGGAGCUUACUCCUCUGACGUUAGCGGCGGACGGGUGAGUAACACGUGGAUAACCUACCUAUAAGACUGGGAUAACUUCGGGAAACCGGAGCUAAUACCGGAUAACAUGUUGAACCGCAUGGUUCAACAGUGAAAGACGGUCUUGCUGUCACUUAUAGAUGGAUCCGCGUCGCAUUAGCUAGUUGGUAAGGUAACGGCUUACCAAGGCAACGAUGCGUAGCCGACCUGAGAGGGUGAUCGGCCACACUGGAACUGAGACACGGUCCAGACUCCUACGGGAGGCAGCAGUAGGGAAUCUUCCGCAAUGGGCGAAAGCCUGACGGAGCAACGCCGCGUGAGUGAAGAAGGUCUUCGGAUCGUAAAACUCUGUUGUUAGGGAAGAACAAAUGUGUAAGUAACUAUGCACGUCUUGACGGUACCUAAUCAGAAAGCCACGGCUAACUACGUG
rnacentral:rRNA from 1 species